rnacentral:rRNA from 1 species
AGAGUUUGAUCAUGGCUCAGGAUGAACGCUAGCUACAGGCUUAACACAUGCAAGUCGAGGGGCAGCAUGGUCUUAGCUUGCUAAGGCUGAUGGCGACCGGCGCACGGGUGAGUAACACGUAUCCAACCUGCCGUCUACUCUUGGCCAGCCUUCUGAAAGGAAGAUUAAUCCAGGAUGGGAUCAUGAGUUCACAUGUCCGCAUGAUUAAAGGUAUUUUCCGGUAGACGAUGGGGAUGCGUUCCAUUAGAUAGUAGGCGGGGUAACGGCCCGACCUAGUCAACGAUGGAUAGGGGUUCUGAGAGGAAGGUCCCUCACAUUGGAACUGAGACACGGUCCAAAACUCCUACGGGAGGCA